rnacentral:rRNA from 1 species
AUUGAACGCUGGCGGCAGGCUUAACACAUGCAAGUCGAGCGGAUGAGAGGAGCUUGCUUCUCGAUUCAGCGGCGGACGGGUGAGUAACGCCUAGGAAUCUGCCUGGUAGUGGGGGACAACGUUUCGAAAGGAACGCUAAUACCGCAUACGUCCUACGGGAGAAAGCAGGGGACCUUCGGGCCUUGCGCUAUCAGAUGAGCCUAGGUCGGAUUAGCUAGUUGGUGAGGUAAUGGCUCACCAAGGCGACGAUCCAUAACUGGUCUGAGAGGAUGAUCAGUCACACUGGAACUGAGACACGGUCCAGACUCCUACGGGAGGCAGCAGUGGGGAAUAUUGGACAAUGGGCGAAAGCCUGAUCCAGCCAUGCCGCGUGUGUGAAGAAGGUCUUCGGAUUGCAAAGCACUUUAAGUUGGGAGGAAGGGUUGUAGAUUAAUACUCUGCAAUUUUGACGUUACCGACAGAAUAAGCACCGGCUAACUCUGUGCCAGCCGCCGCAGUAACAC